rnacentral:lncRNA from 1 species
CUUACAUAAUUUCUAUUUAGAUUUCAUCUCUUAUCCCAUUCUUCAUUUAUUCAGGAGACAUAUUUUACUCUUAUCAUAUUCCAUACUAUUUCUUUCUUCUGGGCACCAUAUCAGUUAUUUCUCAUUUAUGUAUGAGAUUGUGUGAUUAAUAUCUGUCCUCCUAUUAGGUUUUUACCUCCUUCACAUAAAAUCAGAGACUACAUCUUGCUUUCUAACCAGUGUAUCCCCAGUACUUACUAUAAUUCUCACAGAUUAAAGGUGUUUACCAAAUAUUUGUUAAAUCAGUGAGUGAAUUGGAAGUCAUUUUUUUUCAUGAAAUGUGUUUAUUGGAUUGUAAUUCCUUUGAAACAUUUUUCUUUCUGAUGUUGCCACUUUCUUUCCCAUGUGACUAAUACCAUUGAUGCAGUUUAAGUGUCUCUCCCUAGAUGAGAAGGAAUGGAUACUAUGAUUGACAACACCAACUAGAACCAUGGGGAUUGAAUGAAGCAUGUCCCAGACAAGUAGUAAGGAUAUGCCAAUCCUGGCAAUUAACACAUAAAUGUAUAUUAAGGAAUUGCAUAGAAGAGUUAAUAAAUUAUGUAUUACAUAUUAGGAUAUAAAACAGAAAAGAUCUCUGUAGCAAAGACUAACACUGAAAUAUGCCUUUCUUUAUGUCUAUAUUAUUUAUGAGCAUUUAAUUAUCUUUCUUCCUAGAAAAAAAUAAACGUGGCUUCAAAGAUAUUAAGUGAGGAAGAAUCUACAAAAAGCUUAGAAUGUGAUAAUUCAAGAAUUUUAUAAUACAGUGGAAUAGCUUAACAACUGCUUAUGUGCUUCCCAUGAUAUGUUCUCUAUAUUAUCAAAUGCAGACAUAAUUUAAGAAGACUAGCCUUCCGUUAAAGAUUUCAUCAGGUGAAGACAUCAGUCUUGCCUUCCUGCUCGCUGCAGUGCACUGUAAAUGGUCUCACAGCACAUCCACAGCUAGUUCACUGGACAAAGGAAGCAACCAUCUAAUACAACGGAAGUUACAUAAUCGAGACCUCACUGUGAGCUUUGAAACUAUUUUUAAUCACCAGAACCUACUUCUCAUCAUAAAAGGAUAUCUCCAGCUCCAUAAUUUGAGAGUGAAAUCUUAAUGGCCUUUAAUCAUCCUCAUAUCAUAAUGGACAAGCUGGAGAGAAGAAUUUCCUCCACUGUAUAGAUGUAUGAAACUGUACCAGUAAACACUGUACAAUGUAAGUUAAACUUUCAUGUUAUAGAUACCAAAUAUUAAUCUAUUUAAAUUCGUGGCCUGGCAAGGGGAGUUACCAAUUUCUCCGGUAGCAAGCAUUUACAACAGAGUAGAAGAGAUUGUUCUCUAAUUCCUUCAUCGCUCCUUUUGUUGUAGGGACCAGCCCUCAGACAAAGAACCUGCUCUGUUCUUUUGAUGAUCAAUUAUUCUGGGGAGAUGUAAAGAAUCUCUAACCAUUUCUGCUGCUUUCAUGGUAUUAGUUUUGAGGGCUCAUCAUCACCUCUAAUGUCCAUGACUCCAUUCUCUACUAUUAGUGACUAAAAUUUAAGUUCUCUCUCCUUUAUCCUAUAUCAGCCAACAAGGCUUGCAUACUCAGAAUUUUAGUAUCAUUCGUAAUAUUUAUUUUUAAGCAUUUGGUCACAUGUUCUUCUGUGUCCCUGGCUUGACAC